UCAUUGAUCAACCAUGAAAGAACAAACAAAUCAAAUACCGAAACUUGGGUGGCACUUUAUUGGUGAUUGUCUAAAGGAGACUGUGGUCUCCCAAAGAAUCAUAGACCUUAAGAGAUGGCAGCUUCCUUGGAGAUUCCGUAUCCCUGCUCCUUCAUCUUUAUAGACGAGAAAAUUCGGUUCAGAAAGGUGAAGUGACUUUUGCAAAGUCAUCCAGCUAGUUGGUGGAAAAGAGGGAUUUUGAUCCCAUUUUUUUUUUCUAACUUUGAAAAAGAAAGAGGGAUUUUGAUCCCCCGCCCCUUUUUUUUCUGACAUUGCAUCAUGUCCUGCAUCAACUCAUGGAUUUCUGAAAAGUCUUCCUGCAUUUCAGCAUCCCUGACUCACUCAGACUGGCCUCCUGUAGCGCCUUGAAGAGAGCUAGAUUUAGAAGAAAUAUUACUUCAGCUCUCAGGAUGGCAAAAGAUCUAGCCAGGAGGCAGAGACUCUGGAAAAGUGCUAAUAAAUUGUUACUGCCUGCUAUUAAAAGGAUCGAUAAGGUCCCUCCAAAGAAGCAAUUGACUAAGAAGUCACUUCCUGAGCUGAAGGUCAGUGUGUUGGCCCUGGAAUGAACAUCGGUGCACCAGCGAUAAGAGCCAAGUGCUCUCUCCUGCCAUUUUCGGGGGAGGCCAGGAAACAAGUGGAGAACCAGAAGAGGAAGGAAAGACCCAUGGGGUAGGGGAACAUCUGGAUAUCCACCAAGUAAAGGGAGCUGUUUCCAGGAGAAAUCCAAGGAAGGAAAAAUCCAGAGCCUGAUGACAACGUGGGGGUAGAAGAGGCUAGAAGGGCCGGCUUCCUUCCUUCUGUAUUGCUGGACCUACAGGAAUAAACGAGUUUCAAGCCUCAAUGGAACUUUUCAGUCACGCUUCUCCUUCAGCAAGCUGCCUGAUGUUCACGUGAUCCUCUUUCACAUCCUCUGAGCCCAUAAAUAGUCUCAAAGCAGCUGCUGGAAUCCUUCCUUCCGUCUGCUCCCAUCGCCCCUCAUCAUAGCCACAGGGGCUGUGACAUCAAAGGUCACACUGGACAGUGUUGGGAGCGUAACCCUGGGGGUGGCCAUGCCACCUACCUAAGCUGAGAAGAUGGACUUCACACACUGAGAUGUCAUGAAGAGGAAAUUCUAGAUGGAUUCUAGAUGACUGCAAAGAGGUAAAAUAUCUCCAAAAGAUAAAAUUCUUCACUUCUUUCCAAAAGAUCUUAAUAACAGAAUGGUGCUAUAUUUUGUGAAAUCAUAUUACAAAAUGAAUUUCGCUAUGAUGGAGACAAAAACAGACUAACAGCAAUAAAAGCAUAGCUUACCUUAAGAGACAAAAAUAAAGGUAUCCUGUA